rnacentral:rRNA from 1 species
AAGGGUCCGUAGGCGGCCUUAUAAGUCAGUGGUGAAAUCUCCUAGCUCAACUAGGAAACUGCCAUUGAUACUGUAGGGCUUGAAUUWUUAGGAAGUAACUAGAAUAUGUAGUGUAGCGGUGAAAUGCUUAGAUAUUACAUGGAAUACCAAUUGCGAAGGCAGGUUACUACUAAUGGAUUGACGCUGAUGGACGAAAGCGUGGGUAGCGAACAGGAUUAGAUACCCUGGUAGUCCACGCCGUAAACGAUGGAUACUAGCUGUUCGGA